rnacentral:rRNA from 1 species
AUAAAGCGUGCGCCGCUACCAUGCAAGUCGAGCGGUAACAGAUCCAGCUUGCUGGAUGCUGACGAGCGGCGGACGGGUGAGUAAUGCAUAGGAAUCUGCCCGAUAGUGGGGGAUAACCUGGGGAAACCCAGGCUAAUACCGCAUACGUCCUACGGGAGAAAGGGGGCUCCGGCUCCCGCUAUGGGAUGAGCCUAUGUCGGAUUAGCUAGUUGGUGAGGUAACGGCUCACCAAGGCCACGAUCCGUAGCUGGUCUGAGAGGAUGAUCAGCCACAUCGGGACUGAGACACGGCCCGAACUCCUACGGGAGGCAGCAGUGGGGAAUAUUGGACAAUGGGGGAAACCCUGAUCCAGCCAUGCCGCGUGUGUGAAGAAGGCCCUCGGGUUGUAAAGCACUUUCAGCGAGGAAGAACGCCUAGCGGUUAAUACCCGCUAGGAAAGACAUCACUCGCAGAAGAAGCACCGGCUAACUCCGUGCCAGCAGCCGCGGUAAUACGGAGGGUGCAAGCGUUAAUCGGAAUUACUGGGCGUAAAGCGCGCGUAGGUGGCUUGAUAAGCCGGUUGUGAAAGCCCCGGGCUCAACCUGGGAACGGCAUCCGGAACUGUCAAGCUAGAGUGCAGGAGAGGAAGGUAGAAUUCCCGGUGUAGCGGUGAAAUGCGUAGAGAUCGGGAGGAAUACCAGUGGCGAAGGCGGCCUUCUGGACUGACACUGACACUGAGGUGCGAAAGCGUGGGUAGCAAACAGGAUUAGAUACCUUGGUAGUCA